ACGAACGCUGGCGGCGUGCUUAACACCUGCAAGUCGAACGGAAAGGCCCUGCUUUUGUGGGGUGCUCGAGUGGCGAACGGGUGAGUAACACGUGAGUAACCUGCCCUUGACUUUGGGAUAACUUCAGGAAGCUGGGGCUAAUACCGGAUAGGAGCUCCUGCUGCAUGGUGGGGGUUGGAAAGUUUCGGCGGUUGGGGAUGGACUCGCGGCUUAUCAGCUUGUUGGUGGGGUAGUGGCUUACCAAGGCUUUGACGGGUAGCCGGCCUGAGAGGGUGACCGGCCACAUUGGGACUGAGAUACGGCCCAGACUCCUACGGGAGGCAGCAGUGGGGAAUAUUGCACAAUGGGCGGAAGCCUGAUGCAGCAACGCCGCGUGCGGGAUGACGGCCUUCGGGUUGUAAACCGCUUUCGCCUGUGACGAAGCGUGAGUGACGGUAAUGGGUAAAGAAGCACCGGCUAACUACGUG
rnacentral:rRNA from 1 species